rnacentral:rRNA from 1 species
UACGAAGGGGGCUAGCGUUGUUCGGAAUUACUGGGCGGAACGGGCGCGUAGGCGGCUUGUCAAGUCAGGCGUGAAAGCCCCGGGCUCAACCUGGGAACCGCGCUUGAGACUGGCAUGCUCGAGUUCGGGAGAGGAUGGUGGAAUUCCCAGUGUAGAGGUGAAAUUCGUAGAUAUUGGGAAGAACACCGAUGGCGAAGGCAGCCAUCUGGACCGACACUGACGCUGAGGCGCGAAAGCGUGGGGAGCAAACAGG